CUCUGAUCUCAUAUAUUAUUGUAAAAGACGCAUUAAUCUAGCCUGUGGCGAUGUGAUAUGACAGACUGCAGCACUUACAUCCUCUGCCAGAGUGGAGGCGCUGUGGAGAACAGGGGUGGGGCUCUGCCUUUCAUACUGACGCAACUUCUCAUGGAUCUAGCAAAGACACGUACACUGCAUAUGUUUACAGAAGCUGGAGAUGAUUGGUCUCUUACACUUUUGCUGCCAUACAUUUAACAAUAAGCUAAGAUAGCUGAGACCCCUCUCACUGAAGACAUCCUUGAGGAAGACCAUGUCCUCUUUGUGAUUGGCAUCUGGACGCAGCUGUGAGGUCAGCAGGGCAAGCGUCUCAUGCAACCCUACAUGCGGACAGGGGAUCAUCCCUGACGAUGCACCAGGACACACCAGGAGUCGGUGACUUACCUUUCCUCCAAUCUUCUACAGUCAUUGUGUUUGGAGUGAGGAGAAAUCAAGCCCAUAUACGGGAUACAACAUACACAACAAAGUGACCACAAAUACGUGCACAAACACACACACACACAAAGAGGUUUGUUUAUGAGCAAACCAAUCACAAAACUUGUACAUCCAUUAUGAUAAAAUUAUGAUUUCAAACAUUAAAGUUAUGAAAUCUGUAGUACUAUGUACUACUGUUAGCUUUCUGCUAACCACAAAA